UGAGGAAUAUUGGGCAAUGCCCGCAAGGGUGACCCAGCAACGCCGCGUGGAGGAUGAAUGUCGUAGAUUGUAAACUCCUGUUAGAGGGGAAGAAUAGUACCGGUUGGACCGGUAUAUGACUGUACCCUCAGAGAAAGCCCCGGCUAACUACGUGCCAGCAGCCGCGGUAAUACGUAGGGGGCAAGCGUUGUUCGGAUUUACUGGGUGUAAAGGGCGCGCAGGCGGGAUAAAAAGUCAGUGGUGAAAUCCUACAGCUUAACUGUAGAACUGCCCUUGAUACUUUUAUUCUUGAGUUCGGGAGAGAGAGACGGAAUUCCAGGUGUAGUGGUGAAAUACGUAGAUAUCUGGAAGAACACCAGUUGCGAAGGCGGUCUCUUGGUCCGACACUGACGCUGAGGCGCGAAAGCGUGGGGAGCAAACA
rnacentral:rRNA from 1 species